GACGAACGCUGGCGGCGUGCCUAAUACAUGCAAGUCGAACGCUUUUUCUUUCACCGGAGCUUGCUCCACCGAAAGAAAAAGAGUGGCGAACGGGUGAGUAACACGUGGGUAACCUGCCCAUCAGAAGGGGAUAACACUUGGAAACAGGUGCUAAUACCGUAUAACACUAUUUUCCGCAUGGAAGAAAGUUGAAAGGCGCUUUUGCGUCACUGAUGGAUGGACCCGCGGUGCAUUAGCUAGUUGGUGAGGUAACGGCUCACCAAGGCAACGAUGCAUAGCCGACCUGAGAGGGUGAUCGGCCACACUGGGACUGAGACACGGCCCAGACUCCUACGGGAGGCAGCAGUAGGGAAUCUUCGGCAUUGGACGAAAGUCUGACCGAGCAACGCCGCGUGAGUGAAGAAGGUUUUCGGAUCGUAAAACUCUGUUGUUAGAGAAGAACAAGGAUGAGAGUAGAACGCUCAUCCCUUGACGGUAUCUAACCAGAAAGCCACGGCUAACUACGUGCCAGCCGCCGCUGUAA
rnacentral:rRNA from 1 species